UCUGUAUGCCCAGAAAUGUAAAUUCCUUUAAUCAUGAUACUACUGUUAAUAAUUCAUGUUUAUGUUUCUGCUUUUUGAAGGAAAAUUGAAUUGACUGUACUGCUUGUCAUUGUAAUUUGUGCACAUAUGAGAUCUCUUCAUUCAGAACUUAAGCUGGAACGCAAGCCAUGGAUUGCCUUGGUGGCAGUGUCCGGUCUUACACAGGGCAGGCAGGAAGAAACAAACAUCCCUGAAUCCAAAACAAGCAUGAAACCUGUACACAUCUCGUGACCUUUUCUGACUUUGAAAUUGCAACAGCUGAUUUUCUAAUGUUUUCCUUUAGCUGUGGCAAGAUACCCUGGGAGCUUCAGAAACAGGAGCACUCCCUAUUCUAUGUGGAAUGAGGGAUGCUCAAAGGAUGAGCCUUAUCUUGCCCUGCCUAGAAGAAUGAUCCUUCUCUUGCCUUCCCUAGAGAAGAUGCCAAGUUAAAAAGUGACUUGACUUGAAAUGAAUUCAACUCAUUUAUUCAAGGUCAUGCAUCUCCCGGGACUCCUGCUUAUGGAAGCAUUUUCAAAUGAAUCAGAUCCUAUCCAAAUGGUUAAAUUGUCAGCUCAAAAGCCUGCUGAUGCCAAAUGCAAAUUUUUACACAUCCAGUUAUUUAAAAAAUAGCACAAACAAGCAGAUUUUUAGCCAUUUGGAGCCUGCCUACUUUACGUACCCUAUGAUGCCUCACCCAACAGCUGUUGCUCAUUGAUCAAAUGGGGCCUUGUACUUAUAAGGCCCUGAAUACUGUGGCCCUUCCGAGCUCUCUGACCCAGACUCUCUGCUGUACUGCUGAGUGACAUCACUUAGAUCCUCUAAGCCCCCUUUCUAAUCCCCCUCUCUCUUGAUUUUCCGUUUGCUCUUCUCCUCUUCUAAACAGUGGCCCCCUAGCCCUAAACCUCUGGAUGGUCUCACACUAGGAGAGACAUCCUCUUUCAUGCAACCCCAUCCAAGAGCCAUUCAAUAAAGCAUGUUGUAUGUUACUGUGUCCUGUGCUCACAUCUUUUUCCUUGAUCAGCCCCCAAAUCCCUCCAACUCAACUCCUACAACAUA